AAUCGGGGCAUUCUAGAUAGGGAAGAAGGUAGAUGGAGACAGACCUUGCAGAUCUAUCCUGCUGCAGCCUUUCUUGUAGAUCUGUUGAUGGAGAUCUUACCCGCAUCUCAAACGACCUCAGAUCAACUUCAGAUCUAAGAGGGACUUGUAUCAACCUCUUCUCAAGAGAUUUCAGGUCCUGGACCUGAUGCUUGGAUGGCUUCAAGAGAGGGAGAAGAGAGAGAAUUGACGGCUGCAAGGGGGAAGGGGCUAGCUCCUCCUUGCUUUUCUUUCCUUUUAUGGACCUGGCGGCAAGAAACCCUAGGGUUCCUUGCUCCUGGGGCAUGGAGAAUGGCUGGAGAGAGAGGGAGAAGAGAGAGAGAGACUUGGGAGAAAGAGUUUUGUAUUUUCUUUGGCUUAAUCAAACCUAUACACAGUACAUGUAUAUACAAACACAAGGUCAAGUGACCCAAACCCAAAACUCCCUUGACCAACUCUAUGGGAGAUUAGAUUAACCCAAGCCCAUGUACACCCAUGACUCGAUCUAAUCUCACCUAUCCUGGGCCCAGACCUGGCCCAUAAAGAGUUGGUUCCUUGAGGCCCACAUAACCUAGACCUCAAGAACCCGAAAGGCCCACAACCUUUCAACCUAGGGCCCAACUAGCCCUAGAGCCUCCAUGAAGUGUUGGAGCAUGAUCCUGGCUCCUCCCACAGACCUUUGGUGUAGCAGAACUGGCAAUGAAUAGAUCUGGAGACUUCUGGACAUGAUCCAAGGCCCUUGACGAAAUCAGUCUGGUUGCUGUCUUCUUCAUCAGCCUUUCGUUCCAGAUGAUGAACGCCUUUGAAACCAUCUCUAAAAAAUCCAAGAUCUGGAACCCAAUCAGAUCAGACCUGGACCGAGGUCCUCCAAUUUGUAGAUCUCAAAUCAGAGUAUUAUAGAUAGGGAAAAAGAUAGAUGGAGAUAGACCUCAUAGAUCUCUCCUGCUGCAGCCUUUUUGUAGAUCUGUUGAUGGAGAUCUCACCCGCAUCUCAAACGACCUCAGAUCAACUCCAGAUCUGAGAGAGACUUGUACCAAUCUCUUCACAAGAGAUUCCAGAUCUUGGAUCUGGUGUGUGGGUGCCUGCAAGAGAGGGAAGAGAAGAAAUGGCUGGCGGCUGCAAAGGGGGGAAGGGGCUAGCGCCUCCCUUCCUGUCCUUCCUUUUAUGGACUGGCGGCAAGAAAUCCUAGGGUUUCUUGCUCCUGGUGCAUGGAAGAUUGCUGGAGAGAGAGGGAGAAG
rnacentral:lncRNA from 1 species